AGGAGCAGUGAAGUAGUUCACUUUUGCUAACAGCACUGUGCUUUAAAUGGAGGGAGUCAAGUCUUCCACACUCUCCCUAAUUGGCCCCCUCACUUUUUCCUUUUUACUGCUGUCUCCUCUUCCUCCAACAGAAAAGGAAGAGAGCAAAGUAGGUAACAAUCCAAAAGGAGCAACUCUCAAGAAGAGGCAAGAGAUGGUUUAACUCAUUCUAAAUCUUUAUUCUGCAGCAGUAAGGAGAGUAGUUCCGUAGAUGGUCUACCAUGAGGUUCAGGAACUAAAGACCCCCAUCAAUGCACAAAAGGAUCAGAGUUCCAGUUCCACUGCACAGAUUGGAGAAUAUGUGAAUAUUGCCCAGCAGAAACUGAAAUCAACUUUCCACAUUUACAUUUUACAGUAGAUAAUGCCUUCCGAACCCUUUAAAAAUGUAUCAAUGUGCGUUGAAGCUCCCUAAAUACUGAUUCAAUAUUUCUAAUGUAAGACUAGGACCACAAUUAUGGCUUCUUGCAUAUAAUGUAAAAAAUUCCACAGCAAAUUUAAUAGACACUUCAGUUUCCAAAGUGACACCAUCAUUUGUGUGUGUGUGCGCCCUGGCUGGCAAUACUGUUGAAUGUGCAUUCCCAAUACACAUGUAAAUGGUGAACUGAACAAAAUAUACUGUUAGGUGAGGGAAUCUUGACAGUUUAAUGCUGUAUGUUACAAAUUUCUGAAAGAACAAAUUUCGUCUAUUGGAAAAAGAUAUCUUCUUCAUAUGACUUACAAUGUCAUGAUCAGAGCAGUCCUUUUAUUUUUCUUAUAAGUCAGAAAAUAAAAUAAACUCCAAUAAGACAGAAAAUUGAGCAACUGUGUCAAGGGCAGCCCUUCCCUUUAGUUCUAUAGCAAAGCGAGGCAAGUGGAGAGAUCAAGUGAGGAAGUGUAAAUCAUUCAUGGGCCUGAUGUGUAGCUUUUCUUGCUAACCAGAUUCAUUUUCCUAAAUGGUGUUUGGGAUUAGAUGUAUGUGGGUCAGUAAUACUCUGUGAGGGAUGCUAUACUUGCAGAGUCCGGGGCUAAUUAGCUCAGACCAUGACUCAGCACGAACAUCUCUCUUCUACAAUUGCAUCCAUCUGUGGCUGAAGAGCUGCGCUAAUCAGGAAGCUACCCCAACCAGCAAAGAUCAGAACAACUGAAAAAAGGGUAUUCACAAUAAAAAGUCAAAGUUUAAUCUAGAAAGUUGGCAGCUGGAGGAGAUCAACACAAACAGCCUCUGUUCCAGCACUGCAGUGAUGAAUUCAAGUUCCCUCUGUGCUCUGCAAAAUGCCUGCAGCAAACAGCUCAUCAAGAGAAUCCUACAGAAAUGCCUCUACAGCUGGGGUCAGAGUGGCUUUUGAGACCUUCUUUAACUCAGAGGGAGAGAGCAAAACAAAUUCUUUCAAGCUGAUUAUUACCUGGAAGAUUCUCCCACUGUAAGGUUGUUUCUUAUCUUCUUCUACGAGACGUCGCCCUUCUGAAAGAAUAUCUUCAUCACAACUGAGAAAGUGAACCAAGAAAGAGGAAGCCUUGCAAUUCAGGAGUCUAGGAUUUCAAUGCAAGAAAGAUAAAGGAAAUUCCUAACAUCAUGGUGAGAAGAAAUCUUAGGAUAACAAUUACACAGAGAUCCCAGAUGGCAAUCAAUUCAGACUAUCCCAGAUUAUGCUUUGGCCGGGAAAUUUUAUCAAAAGGUAGAUGAAAGUUAAUAAACUUAAUAACAGAUUUGUUAACAGACCUAAAAAACAUUUAGGCAAAUGAAAAAGAGGAAAAAGAAAUGUAGAAAGAUAAAAGGUUAGUCUAAAAGGGAAAAGGUGUUAAUAAUACACUACGUGGUUAAGUAUGCAAUAUUAAUUAUUAACAAUAAAAAUAUUAUUUUAUUCUUAAUAAAUUAGUUUAACCUCAUUCGUGACAUAAUAGUAUUGGAAAGAUCGAAGAGUGACAGGUGAUACGAAAAAAGGCUAUCA
rnacentral:lncRNA from 1 species